UAAGGAAAUAAUUAAUCAUAUACCAUACAUGUUCUUAAAAACCUUCAAGAAUCUAUCGAUUGAUAUUACUUCGCAUUAGUUAACCAUUUGAUUUCGCUAUAAAAGAAAUACUCAACAAUUCAUAAUGGUUCGGCUAAUCACAAGCUACCGAAAUAGCGACUACAAUAAAGCCCGUAUGAUUAUUAUCGUACGAAUGACUCCUCGUCAGUUUGAAUGAUUGUCCAUUAGAAACAAAGCGUGAACUACCAGGAAAUCAAUGAGCGUUGCCAAGCGAGCGGAAGCCCAAAAUAAUAGUACGUAAAAUCGACUGGGCGUAAGAAGUUUAAAUAAAAAAUACAAAACUUGCCAUACAUAUCUAAACAUAAUAACAAUAUACCAUACAAUUGACAAUAGUCUAUAAAAAGAUAUAUAAAACCAUAAAAUCCAUCCGUGUCCCGUGGAAUUCGACAUUCAUUAAACCUUUAUGAACUCCGGGAUGAACCCACGUAUUCUGUCUAUCCCCCAUAAAAUUAUACCAAACAACCACUCUCAUUCGUAUAACCACCAUGUAUCGCACAGAGGCAAACACAAUUAGAUUACAAUUGACUUCUCCACGUGGGAUUAAUAAAAACCGAAGUAACGUCACAUAACCUGAAAACCCAGGAAAAUUAUAUUGGCCGAACAGCAUAGGGGGGUCCUUAUGAGCAAAACAAGUCAUACGACGAUUAAAGUCAACAGACUGAUCCCAAUUAGGACAGAGGCAAUUGGCAAUUAUCUUAAUCGAGAAAACGAAUGACCCAGGACCUGGUAAAGGGGCACGUAUGUCAUUCAGAAAUUUUCAUUGCAUCCUGAACUAAAGUCAAUUUCCACGGUAACAGACGUCCGUCUUGAAAUUACAUGAGGAUAAUUGAAAUUCACUGGCUGAUCGAUAUUCUUCUUUUAUUCCACCCAUGUGCUCUAUGUAUUUACGUAUAUCGAUCAUAUACGGGUGUACGUAUAUACGUUCCGGCUUUACGAAGCCCGAGCUUUCGCGACGGAAAUAAAACUAUGAAUGCUAUCGAUCUGAACUCAUCCCCGAUAGAAUCGUAGGGAACCUUUACCGCUCGACACGUAUCUACGUUAUACGUGGAAUUUGUAUGUAUACGUGUGUGACUGCCUAGGCGCACAGUCAUAGAUGCAGGAAUAGUCAUGAAACGUAUGCAGGUAUAAUCCAGGCGGAAUUGCAAGCCAUUCGAGAGGUGAAUACUCGAGUGAAAAUACCGAGGACGCCACUGGUAGUACGUAUGCUAUUCCUGUUCACUGAGGGAGCAAGUAGAGCAAAACCCUCAGCAAAGCAACUCUUGCGCUAUUUCUUUUACUCUCUAUUAGGAUAGUUAACUUUCGUCCGGGAAUUUCGAGAAUGACUUCGCGCAGGGUCGAGUGGACGAAAGCGGGAUGAGUGGUAUAUUUUUGGGUUUGAUGGUAUAGGGGAUGAAAUAUAAAAAAAAAAGAAAAAAAAAAGAAAAAAUUCCGGGCAAGCUUGUCCGUCCACUUUGGAGGUUGAUUGAUCUUCCUAUAAUACAUAAGAUCGCUUGGGGUCGCUUAUAAGGGUGAGUCCCAACUUCGGUUGGUAUCCCUGGGAGGAAAACAUAAGCCACAAGAGGCUAAUGGGGAAUCGGGGUAAAGUCAAGUCUGAAGUAGACACGUAGAUCCGAUAUUUGUGAAUGAAGGACAGCGUCCAUUAGGGGUGGUUUGAGAAAUUGCUACCAUUGGCUGUAAUACAGCGACAGUAUGUUAUUUAUAAAAUCGGUAUGUAUGCUUGGUAAACGCGAGUUGAAGAAUUAUAAAAAUAUGACGUAACCUAUAAAUGCAGGCGAAGCACAAUUUCAUGAAAUUUUAUGGGUAAGGGUGUGGAACUCGUCUGAUAUCCAGAAACCCAGGGGUGCCCGAUCAAUAAACAGCUUGGCUGGCUCCAGCAUCUUCUACUGGCUUUAAUGCAGAGAGAGAAGUUACUGCUAUACUGUCUUCCUAUCUGUUGGUACAGAUUCCUCGAUUAAGGGUAGGGUGGUAGGCUUACGGUAAUCUUAAGAACCACCCUCUAACCGCACCCUCUGUUAAAUGGCGUAUAUACAUAUACGCACAGUACAUUUCCCUAUCUACUAAGGUAUUUUCUCUUUAUGACUCGCGGUCGACCCAAUUCCAACCCUUUUUCUCAUCCUCCUCAAAGUACUACAUCAAGCAUCCAGGACCUCCUCUUAUCCGUACUCCAAGGACGUGUUCACCUCCUCUAGUAACUGCCGAGAUUUCAUAACGAGCUUCUCUCGGCCAAGCUGAUAAGGCGCCUAACCUAUAAAAUUAUUCGCAUCACCAUAAAGACUAUUUCUACCGAGCGCAAAUUAACCUAACCAAAAAUAUCAAACUGAUGUCAGAUUAGUUCGUGCCGCUACCGCCAGGUGGCGAGGCGUCGCGCUCGACGUUACUUCCUCCAAUUCAGACCCAGGCCUAUGCCGAUCGUACGACCUGACUGACCGUAAAACAUACCACCGCAUUCCGGAAGAGUCCGCCUCGCGAAUCGAAAAUAGCGCUACUUCAUCCUUCAUCUCGGACCACCUCACCCAGGAACCCCGGGUACCCGAAUGCUUGAGAUCCCGUCGGUUUGAUAAAUGUCGAACGUUCGAGGGAUCUCAAGUAGCUGACAUGAAAUCCAAUGGAAAAUUAAUUCUAUGCCUAGUAGUCUCAAGAGCCUGAUCGAAUCGUUUCUCGUGUAUAUCCGGUCUAGAAACUUAACAACCGUUUCUGUGACCCAAUUCGAUCGAAACUCUAGGUUCUUUUUUUCCUUAAAAAAUUUUUUUAUACCGUAUAGUACCGUAGAACCAUUAAUCGUCCCGUAAUGUCCUGACCAAACUAUAAACUGUGUAACAAAUUGGCAAUGAUUAUGUCGCGCCUAAAAAUGUGAACGUUAACUCUGACCGGAAUGUUUACCUUAACGCUGUCAGCCUCAGCGGUUAGCCGUGCCCAGAUAGAUAUACGUAUUUAAGCUUCAAGGUGUUUUUAGGAUGACUGUCCGAUGAUUCCACCUCAAGGAAUCCUUAUAACCUGGCUUAUUUAAUCGAUCUGAGGUACGUAGCAAAUUUUCGAAGAACGAUGACCUCGCUGUAGUCAUUGUCUGAGCGAUGCCAAACCGGAUCUCAUUACAUUAGAAAUCAUAUCUCUGUGUCGAGAUUGUGUCACUACUCAAAAGACAUGAGCUAGAGAGAGAUAAAUGGAGCGGAAUUACGUAUUUUUCAAACAAAGGGCAACUAACCUCUAAAGCCGUGUCAUAGCCAUUGUUAUAAGGACAAUGAAGACCGGCUUGGCGAAGAGCAGAAGAGAUCGGAGAGUGAAAGAGAGAGAGAAAGUAAAAGCAGUGAAGUUCUCAGUAAAAAAGAGCAAGCACGUGCAUCCGGUGUCGUAUUUUCCUUGAUUGUCUCCCAGCAACGAGUAACAGGUCGUUUAGCAUAAUAAAACUUGACGUAGAAAUCGAGCUGAUUUUCCAUUCCACUGAUUGGAGCAGGUACGCGUCACCGAUAUCAAAGUCCCCACGCGUAAAAUCGUUGUCAAAGGGAAAUCGAUCGAGUCCCAGUCCAACGUGAACCGUGAACAGCUAAGAAGCCCAAAGGCGGUUUUACAUGUAAAGGAUAUGGAUUUGUAAUGAGUGCGAGACACCAGUUGCGCGGUCGAGUAGUCUGGUCGAGAUAACGCAGAGCGACCGGCACGAAUCCCGG